CCUGCCCUGGGUGUGAUGGGCCCUGCACCCCAAGCAGGUCAAGGAUGAGCAAACUACUCACCUGCAAAACAUUCUGGGCCACAAGCCCGUCUCCUGUUUCCUUUGCGACGCAAGUCACUGAAUCGUUAGAGGGAAGAAGCCUUGAAGGUCAUGGGUCAUUCCCAGCCCUUUCAGAGGUGUUUCCAUAUCAUUAGUCACACUUCGGUCUCAGCGAAAGCUCUAACCUGUGGAAUUCUCAGCCUCUGAGCUCGACAGUGUGAUGCGGCGAGAACAGGUGAAAGGAGACUGGAGAGCACGAGGCCCUCAGCCCGCCCGUUGUGUUUUCUGCCUUAGUGCUGGCUGGCACUGCUCCUGGAACUCUGGGAGGCAGGAUUGUACACAAGAUCUUCAGUCAUCUCUCACGAUACUUUCAGCUGUACUUCAUAGAUUACCCAGCUAUCAGUGGCUCAAACAAUAAAGACAUUUAUCAUCUCAUUUAACAAGUCUGGAGCUGGGAGGUUGCAGGGUUGGUUCAGCGGCUCGACAACGUCAGGAAGGAUCCAUGCCCUUCCCAUCUUCCUUCUCCAUCAUCUUCAGAGCAUGGUGUUUUCUCCUGCGUGGUUGCAAGAUGGCUGCCACACCUCCAAGCAUCACAUGCUUAAAAGACAACAUCCAGACCAGGAAGGGGGAGGCAGGGCCUUCUUAUUGCACUUCUCUCUCUCUUGCUUCUCUCUCCCUCUCUCCCCCUCCCCCUACCCAAUCCAGGCAAGGAAGUCUUUCCCAGAAGCCCCCUAGCAAACUUUCCCUAAUUCUAAUUGGCCAGAACUGAGUCAAAUGCCUGUUUUAGACUGAUCCCUGGAAAAGACAGUAAGGAUUAACCAGAUAGCUUUAGAACUAUUGUAGUUCUCGACCUAGAACUAGUGUGGGCCUGGGGGAUGGAGCCACCUUCUGAGACAUCACCUAUCAAAUUCUGACACAAAGUUGGGAUCCUGUUAAUGAGGAAGAAUGGGGAUGGCUGCUGGAUGGGCAACCUAGAGCCUAUCCUGAGCGCUUAACCCGUAGAUCAUGUCUUGGCCCCUUUCAUGCUUCCUGACAUUUCUGUGCCUUGCCUAGGGCCCUUGGUAGCUUUCAGAAAGGUGUUGCUCACUGAAUACUUUGGACUCUUCUACUUGCUGCCAUCAGCUCUAACCACCUCCCCCAACCUUCCUACCUCCCCGCCCGGUGGGAUAGAGCAUAGGAACAGACGAAGUGAGACAAGCCAUGAUAGAGGAGAAGAUGUUAGAAACAUGCUAGGGAGAACGCUGAUUAAAUGGUCCAGACUUGGCAGUGAAAAGACAAAUGUCGACAGAUUGGAUUAACAGAGAGAGGUGUGCUAUCUAUACGCACAUGAACAGGAAAGGUUGAAAAUAAAAGGCUGGAAAAGGACACGUCAGGCAAAUACUGACCAAAGAGAGCUGGUGUCGCUGUGCUCAUGUCAGGUACGAUAGACUUCAGGACAAAAAGCAUUAUUAAGGAUGACAAAGAUGACUACAUGAUGAUGAAAGAUUAAAUUCACCAAGAAGAGAUUUCCGUGUAUGUACCCAAUAAAAUAACUUCAAAAUAUAUAGAAGAACCAUUGAUAGAACUACAAGGAGAAAUCAGUGAAUUCAUCUUCAUGGUGGAGAUUUCAACACACGUCUUGACUACCGAUGAGUCAAGCCAACCACAAGGGGAGGACAUAGAAGGCCCGACGAGGAUGUAGAAAGUCCGAAUGAUGCAGCUAACACCCUUGAUCUAAUGGACACAGAGACAGGUGUACGCAGCAAUUUGAGCACACACAUUUGGGUUUUCCAAGCACACGGAGCAUUAACAUUUUGAUUAUAUAAGCCAGAAAGAAACAACUAGUUAAAAAAAAUAAAUAUCAUGCAAACCACAAUCUCUGCCCUUUAAAAAGGUAAAUAAUCCCAAUACACUUGGAAAUGUUUUAAAAAUUGUGAAAUAACUCAUUCACUUUUCAAGAGGAAACCAUAUGAAAUCUUUAAAAUAUCCAGAAGUGAAUGAAAAUGAAAGUUUUACAUAUCAAAGCUUGUGAGAUACAGAAAAAACAGUGUUUGAGGGAAAUUUAUAACCUUAAAUACUUAUAUUAGAAAAGAUGAGAGCCUCAAGAUUAAUAAGCUGGGGUUCCAUUUUAAGAAAUUAGAGAAAGAACAACAAAAUGAUGAAAAUAAGCGCAGAUUAUUAAAGUAGGAAACAAAGAUACAAGAGAGAUUGACAAAGCCAAAGGUUACCUUUUUAGGGAAAGUAACAAAAUAGGUCAGUUUCUGUCAAGGUUGCUCAAGAAAAAAGAAACAAAAAAAUCUUAUGGAUGAAAAGGGGGACAUGACCACAUGUUUAACUAGACAUUAAAAAAUGAUGAAAGAAGACUAGCUAAUUCAACAACAUGGCAGCAAUGUUGAAACUAGGACAAGAAGUGUUGGCAGUGCUCGGAGCACACUAGCCACGAAGGCAAAACCUGAAAGGCCUUCACCUGUCUGUGGGCAGGAACACACUCACCCAGUGGGAUUUUCUGAGGGAUUCAGAAUGAAUGAGCCACUGAGACGCCACACGUGGCUGAAUCUUAGCAGUAUAGCAGGAUGUCUGAGAAGAUUACAAACAGCAUGACACCCACUUUAUAAAAUGAAAAUAUAGAGAUACACUUUCUAGGAACACAUACGGAUGCAAAAAAACUAUUGAAAAGCCAGGGCAAAAACAAAGCAGGCAGGCUUCAGGACGGAGACCGGACACUCUGUGCACUGUGGAGACGAGCUGGGAUGGAGUGGGGACCGUGUGACCAGGUAUAAGUUAUUGUCAGGGUUCCAGCUUUUGUUCGGGGUAGUGGGUUUGCAUGUGCUUAUUGUUAAAAAUAGCUAAUCAGGGGCUGGCCCCGUGGCUGAGUGGUUAAGUUCGCGCGCUCCGCUGCAGGUGGCCCAGUGUUUCGUUGGUUCGAAUCCUGGGCGCGGACAUGGCACAGCUCCUCAAACCACGCUGAGGCAGCAUCCCACAUGCCACAACUAGAAGGACCCACAAUGAAGAAUAUACAACUAUGUACCGGGGGGCUUUGGGGAGAAAAAGGAAAAAAAUACAAUCUUUUAAAAAAAAAAAAAAAAGCUAAUCAAAUAAGUAGAAGUAGGUCAUGCCGGACCAAUGAUGACAGACGGUUGACCGCAGAAAAGAAAGAGGCUGAAAAGGUAUGGAGUUUGCAAUCAUCAUUAUCACUUUUUCCCACAACCUAGGAGACAUACGGAGCUGACGCGGUGGAGCACGGGUCUCUGGCUGAGCCACGCUCUGGGUCCGCCCCCUUGCUUCCCCCGCCUCAACCCCGGCACUUGACACCUCUUCUGCCGUGUGGAGGCGAG
ensembl:lncRNA